GCAAGAGGAUUCUGCAGAUGCACUUCACAUAUAUAUUGUAAAAUCUCAUCAUCAAACAUUUUACAAUGUAUACAAUUAAUUGAGUACACCUGAAGACUUCCUCAUAAUUUAGCAUUUUCAGUUCCUAGACAUCCGAGCAGUACAAAAUGUAACAAACACAAAGAGUAAAGCUUGUCAGGUCUUCUGUGUGAGCUCAACACAUAUGGUUACAGCAAGGUGUCUUAACCAGUCUUGCAGGAACAUUUUCAACCUGGACAGGAAGUGACCAAAUAACAAGUACAUGUGUUAGAAAAAAUAAUCUCCAUUACAUUUAUUAUGAUACUCAAAGAAUUCACAGAGGGCUCCACCCCCAUUUUUCAUAAGAAAAACAUCUACAUAAUUAAGAGAUUUUCUCAACAAAUUUCCCUUCAAGGCAUUAAAUGAACAUUCAAUUUAAUAAGAAACUAACAAAUGUCAAUAGUUUCAAGUUUGGGCGCACGAAUUAAGCACAUCAAGUUACCCUUCCUGGAAAGCAUGACAACAGUUUAAGGUCUGGACAGAUGAUGAAACCCAUAUGGCAUGGUCUGAUUACCUCUGGUAUUAAGUUUACUUUCCAGAAAGUGAAGAAUCAUCAAAUUUGUCUGUACAUAGGACAAAAUAGGGACACCGUUCAAGAAACAGGAAGUGACAUCCACAACCUGUAUGAAUUUUUUACAUCACUGGAUCUUAUCUUUUUGUAUAAGCACACAAAGGCAAGUAGGCUUAACUCAAAAGAACAUACAUAACUUUUUCACAAGCAUAUAUAAUGAUAUUCAGGUGUGAGCUUCUGAGAGGAAAUACAAGGACAUUUUCAAAUAAUGCUACUAUAUAUAGAGAGAAAAAAGACAUGUAGGAUAUAAAUGAAUCGUGCAAAAUACCUCUUUCACCAAUCAUAUCACAAAUUAGUACCCUGAUUCUUGAAGAACACCAACCAACAUGCAAAUUAGAUUUCAAGUAAAGAUGAACCUGUAACCAUUGCAAUGAAAGAUAUAGAAAAUUAAUCAAGACAUUCCAAGUUUACUAUAUACAACUCUACUGCAGAUAAGAACUUUACAUUUCAAAUAAUAUUACAUGUGUGUACUGAAGUGUAGUAUCUUGAGCCUUCAACCUUACAACACUAUAAGAGCUCAUACAAGAAGAAUUAAGAGCGGCAUGAACCAAAAUGAGUAGAAUAUCAACAGAUACAUUUUAACUAGUACAGAAUGAGAAAAUAUCUCAAUUCCCUUCCAUGCACAAGACUUCAAGUUGUAGUGAACUCAGUUCAUAAAGCUUUUUCUAGAAAUAUACAUGAGAUGGGAUCAGAUAAUAUCAAGAAAUAACUAUUCCAAAGCAAGUAGUCAGAUAUACCAGAACACCUAUUUCUACUAGCAUAAUUUUCAACUUUCAGUGGCGCAGUGGUAAAGCUGCUGCCUUGUGACCAUGAGGUCAUGGGUUCAAGUCCUGGAAACAGCCUCUUACAGAAAUGUAGGGAAAGGCUGCGUACUAUAGACCCAAAGUGGUCGGACCCUUCCCUGGACCCUGCGCAAGCGGGAGCUACAUGCACCAGGUUGCCCUUUUUUUUUAGUGUGCAUCUACAGCAAGACCAACAACUUUUUACGCACGGAAAUAUGUACUAGACUAUGCAUAGGAAUACAUGAGAAGGCAACU
rnacentral:lncRNA from 1 species